ensembl:lncRNA
CCUCAACACACCAUCUCACACAGGCAUACACAUUAAUAAAUCUGCCCACACACACGCUCUCUAUAUCUCACAUGCUUGCAUACUCUCUCUCCUUCAAACCCACACACACACACACACACACACACACUUAAAAAAAAAAUGACUUGAUGUACUGAAAAUGUAUGCCUAAAAUAUGCGUGUGGCUUAUGCAAUCGGGCGGGCGUUGCAUAAUGCAUGGGGCUGUAAUUAUUGCGGCUCUCCUUACACACGCUUCUGUGCCACUCCACCUCCAUGCCCUGUGCCCCUCUCCACAUCCGCCCCAUACACUCACUCACUCACUCUGCCACUCGCACAGCCUGCCUCUUCCAACAUACACACACACACACAUACACACAUUCACAUAUACACACACACACACACACAAACAUACCUAUGAAAAGCCCUUCCCAAACUUUUCAUGGCAGGCCUCACCUUUGACAAUCAGAAAAAAAAUGGUGUCCGCCCCGCCCAACACCUCGGUGCAAAGAGCAAAGAUAGAGAUGUUCACAUAACCUAUUACCUGUUUUUAGUUGUUUUUUUUACAUUUGAACAGCUAACAUUUGCAGUUUAAUUUCAUCAAUCAAUUAACCUUAAAUAUUUUAUCAAUUCAACUUUUUUUAUUUUGUUUGAUCAGAGCUUUUUUUAAACUGAUCAAAUCUUUCCAUAUCAAAUACGGUUUCAUGAUUAGCUAUGUAUCGUUAUAUUCUUUGGAUCGGUUCAUAUUAGGCGCAUGUCUGUUGUAUUAAUAAUUACAUUAGCUAUCCCUCACCAACUGGUUAUGCUACGGCUACGGUGUUGUAAGAGCACUGCCACACUGGGGGGCCCGCCCCACACUUUAGGAACCACUGGGCUACACACAGGUUUCCAUAGGCCUGUGCACUCACUAACCCACCUAAGGCUGAGGAGAUCUCAGGAGAGAGCAGGAGAGGAGGAAGACUGGGGAGAAAGGGAGAGGAAAAUAGAAUGAAAGAGAGUGGGAGGGAGGGAGAGAGAGAGCAAUAGGGGGUCAUGUUGUGGAGGAGUUUUCUCAAGGCAGUUGGAUAUGAAGCACCAUCAUAGUAUGGAGUUAUAAGUGGAGAGUUUUUUAGAAGUUAGGUGAGUGUGUGUGUGUGUGUGUGUGUGUGUGUGUGUGUGUGUGUGUGUGUGUGUGUGUGUGUGUGUGUGUGUGUGUGCGUAUUGUAUGUGUGUGUGUGUGUGUGUGUGUGUGUGUGUGUGUGUGUGUGUGUGUGUGUGUGUGUAUGUUAUUGACCCUAAGCUAAAGUAUUACACAGCCUAAGCCAAUUCAGCAGCAUGGUUCUGAGGUGAUAGUGGAAGCUACUCUCUUUAAUCCAAUCGUACAGGGAAAUCCAAUGUGCAAGCACAUGCACAAGCACACACACACAAAGUGACACACGCACACACAUACACACACACACACAGAGAGAGAGAGAGAGAGAGAGAGAGAGAGAGAGAGAGAGAAAGACACACACACACACACACACACAGUACACACAGACACACACACACACAGAGAAAAAGACGCACACACACACACGAAAACACACACAGAGAGAAAGAGACACACAUACACAGCAUUAUUUCCCUGUCAGGUUGGAACUCCAUAGUAGCUGUUAGCUACCAGCAGGCCCUGGGGACCACUCCAACCUGGGAGAGUAUUUUUUUUUCCAUCUGCAGCAAAGGCUUCAACAAGUGCAUAACAACGCAAAGCCAACACAGACGCUCUUACCUCAUGGCCACAGCGUGAAUGCAAGGCCCAACCUUUGUGACAAUCAUAAGACUUCACUUUUGUCCCCGUUUAUUUUCUCUUUCAUUCUCCAUAAAGACCUUUAAGGUAGCAGGCAAUGUCCUUCUCAAGGCAACCCCAUCACUCCCUCCCCAACGGGCUGUCUCACACACACUCUCACACACACACACACACACACACACACACACACACACACACACACACAAAUAUUUCUUUACACAUACUCUCACACAUUUACAAACACAUACAGCUCUGACUCUCUCUGUCACUCACCAUCUCUUUUUAAUUCAGUUUGAGCAUUCGGCAGGGUGCUGAUGACUUGGGGCGAACAUCAGAGCGAGAGCCGCAAAUUACAGCUGACAUUGGGCGGAGUGAAAGCGCUCCUUUUUAAAGUCGUCUAAUUCUUUGGUGUUAUAUUCAGAUGUGUGUUUGACUCAUCUGUUUAGUGAAGACUGUCCCCCACUGAAUGAAUGAAACUCAUACUGCAUUCUGACUCCUCUUCUGACAUUCUUCCUACAUUUACUCUCCCUCUCACACACACACACAUAAACACACACACAAACACACAUACACACACACACACACAUUAACACAGUACAAGUUACAACCACCACAAUAUAUCACCACAACAGGUGCCGAAAUGACACACUCUUGGUUAUUUCUGUAGUCUUUUGAUAAUAACUAACUUGGUCUAGAAAGUGCAGUCAUUUUGGUAGUCAGUCACUGAUGUGUGAUUCCUUCGGAGUGUCGUGAAAUCAUUUCGUUUAGUAUUUAUUUUCUUCUUAUUAAGACCCGGUGGAAGUAGAUCAGACACGGUUGGCAGUGGAGGGCCACGUUUCCGCUUGACACCUCUCUGCCAUCUCGGUUACAUGUGGUUUUACAUAACUGGAGGAGAAGUCAAACCACUGUCCCAAGUGCCCACAUGUGUUGUCAUGCGUGAUGUUGUGUGUGAGGGAUUUCAAUUGCUAUGUCUGUAUGGAGGAGUUUGUGUAUCUAGUUUUGUUCGUGGUGUGUGUGAGAGAGGCUGAGAAUGUGUGUGAGUGUGUGUGACAGAGACAGAGAGAGAGAGGAAAAUAUUCUUUAUUGUAUGUGUGUGUAAGUGUAAGAUAAUUUGUAUAUACUGUGUGGUAAUUGUAAAGUAUAAUAAUCUGUGAAUCAUGUGAAUAUAAUAACCGGGACCUUUUCAUUGUAACUAAAACCUGCAUUUGCUGUAUUGGUGUGUAGCUUUUGUGUUUCUGUUCUUGUAGAUGAAGGUGUGAUACUGUGGGGGCGUAUGUGCAUGCAAGUGUAUAGCCUCUUUGGAUUAUAGAAUCUGAGUAAAUGACUCACUAGAGGUUAGUGGUGUGUGUGUGUGUGUGUGUGUGUGUGUGUGUGUGUGUGUGUGUGUGGGUAAAAAUUAAAUUUUUAUAUCAAUGGGUUUGUAUUUAAUUUUCUAGCGCAUUUUUCGCAUUUAUUGGAGCAUUUAUUGAACCAUGUCUAAUCUUGUGUUAAUAUGGAGUACUGCAGUAAUAGUGAUCCAGUCAUAACAAUUUAGUUAGAGAAGUUCACUGAUAAUUUAGAGAAUGGAACAGGGCAGAAUCGAAUGUCACAUGAAACUUAAAAAAAGACAGGGGGCAUUUGUGUGAUCACAUUUGAGAUUUCAGAGGCUCUUUUGUGCCUUCUGGAGGAAUUUGUGCCCAAAGCCCUUGUUCAUUUCUGAGUCUAGUGUCUGGUGAUAACGAAGGGCCAUGCAACUGGCAGCUGUUCACCAGCUUUUAGGCACAAACUAAGAUUGAACACCAAGGUGUGUGUGUGUGGGUGUGUGUGCGUGUGUGUGUGUGUGUGGUAGAAAUUGACAUUGUUAAUGAGGACAUUGUGGAGGGAGGGUGUAACGGUACCCUGUGUGACAUGCCCGCAAAGCACAAACACAGGCAAGGCACACGCACCCGCACACACAAAGAGAAAGAGAGCAACCUAUAUCCAUCCGCUUAAGGUGUUGCUGCAGUGUUUUGUGGGUAAAGCUAAUCGGAGCACACUCAAGGCGAGCCAAGCCGAGCUGAGCAGAGCCGGCAGGAGGUCACCGUGGCGAUGUAGGGCUGCCGAUGCCGCUGCUGCUGCUGUCACUGGCGUCCCAGUGUCCAGAAGCAGGUCAAUGAUCUCACAGCAGAGGACAGCAGCUCCUAGUCCCGUCUCCUUCUUUCCACCUGACCCAGCCCAAACACACAAACGGAAUCUGACCCAUCCCUACCCCCCCCCCCCCCCCCCCAUGUAUAACCAUGCACUCAUACUCACACGCUCAAACACAAACACACACGUUCUGCACAUUAACGGCCGCAGAAAAAACACAUCACACAUCCACACAACUCCAACCCAUACUAUAACUCACAUAUAAAUAUUACGCAUUACAAUCUAAGAAAUAAACCCUCAAGGGCGCAGGUAUAAUUGUUUCACAACCUGUGGUGGAAUUUGGUGGAGCGUGACAUAGCGAGCGAAGCCGCAGUUAAUUACCACUGACACUUAUUCUGUGGAGUCAAGAGCAGAAUGAUUAAAGGUAAACUUAAUUUCACAGCUGUGCAGCAAGACAUUUUCUAGCAGUUUGGUAAUGACAGCGAAGGUCAUGUGGAUUAUUACUGCUGAUAAAGGAUA